UAUCCACCCAGCCUUUUUUGGUGCCCAGUACCCUUUUUCUGUGGCUACUGCUCCCUCGCCUUCCAUGGCAGCAAGUGCUGUGAGCUUCCCUGCGAUCCCCGUGCCGCCCAUGACUCAGAUUGCCUAUCCCUAUCAUUCGGAGAGCAGUCUACCAAUGAACUCGACUGUAGCAGAUCAGGACUGGCUGGGUUUGCUUUUUUGUGUACAUUUGAGACCAAGAACUGACCACAUCUGUCUUUUUUUUUUAGUUGGCAAUCUCCAUACCGGCUCCACCUUUCAGGCUAUCCAGGGUUCCUCGCUUUCCUCCCAGCCGAGUCUGCUGGGGAGCACUUCCUACCCUGCAGAGGAUUAACACCUUCAGCCAAUCAGUCAGCAGGGCAUGCACUAUCUCCAUUCUGCCUAUAGAGUUGGUAUGCUAGCGUUGGAGAUGGUGGGAAGGAGAGCUCAUAAUGAUCACCCAAACAACUUUUCCCGAAGCCCACCCUACACAGACGACAUCAAAUGGCUUUUAGCACUUGCUUCAAGACUCGGAGUCAACUAUGUGUACCAAUUCUGAAUCCUGCUCAUUUUCACACCCACCUCAGAACUCCUGCCUUCCACCAGCUUGUUCAGCGCUGCCAACAUUCCUACCUGCAGUAUAUCCAUCACAGGCUCAUAAUGGUACGUCGAACGCUUCGCUUGAUUUCAUUUCCUUCGGCAGCCCUCUGCUCUGACAUGGACAUCCACUUUUUAUUUCAUUGAUGUUCAUGUUGUAUCAUUUGUGCCCUCUCUGCAUCCAUUCCAACCUGGUGAUCCUGAAAGGGGGGAUCCUUCCAUCUGUGGUCCCUUCUCAAGGUUUCUUAUUUUCCCCCAGUAGGGGUUUUUAAGUUUUUCCUUGCCCUUUUGGGAGCUUAAGAUCAGGGGAUGCUUUGAGAAUAAUUGUCAAUUUCUGUCUAUGUGAAGCCCUUUGAGACUGCUUGUGAUUUAGGGCUAUACAAAUAAACUUGACUUGUGUGGCGGGCUCCAUCUAGUGUUGAAACCGAGAAGUGCAACAGAGUUGAGCUCAAGCUUCUUGUGCGGGCCAUAUUCAAUUAUGUUUUCAGAAUUUGCUGCGGGCCGCAGUUGGGACACCCCUGCUAUAGAGGCUUUGCAGCUGACGUCAUCAGCCGCGGUACAUUAGCUUGGCGGCCAUCUUGCCGGUCAACAUUUCAGUGCCGGUCAACGACUCACACACGUUACAUCUGCUGCUAUUUGAGCUUGAUAAACCAAACCUUAGCUUCUAGAUUUCCGGCAAACAUCCAAAAACGCGAUAAAUGGAUCGCGGCGAUUCGUCGUGAACGAUGGAAACCUACGAUUUACACAAGGAUAUGCAAUGAGCACUUCAUAUCAGGUGCAAAAAGCGAAGAUCCACUAUCCCCAGACUAUGUGCCAAGUAUAUUUGAGCAUACCCAGUCACCUCACAAACGAAAACUCAAAUGUUCAAUGAAGAUCUUUGAGAGAAGAAGAAAUCUCAAGCAGCG